GAAUUAUCAACUAAACUGGAGGAAAAAUGAAUAAGAAUUUUCCUAACUACUCUUUUAAGUACAAGUGAAAAAUAUUGAAAUAGAGUCAUGUACAAGCCAUAUCGUCGUCUUUGAGCAACUCCAACCACCUCUGUUGCCUCGAAUUGAGAUCCCUCUGUUAGCACAACUUGCAAAAACUGAAUCUCAUUUCCCUAUUUACCAAACUUCAGCUCAAAAAUGACUCAGAUCCCUGCGCCAACAAUAACGAAAACACAAAUUUAACAGGAAUAUACACAACAUUUGGCUUUGACAUAUAUAGUAGUUUCAUAUACAACAUAGUGUGGUACUAAUGACUCAAUACAAUAAAAAAUCAAAAGAUUUCAAUUACUAGGGAUGUAUUGUUCAGGUCAACUCAUAGUCACAUAGAUUAUUCGAUUUGUUACCUGUCACCUCCUACCAACACAAGUACUUAAACAUAUGUGAAAAAAAUUGCAAGCACUUCAUUGACUACUAGGCCACACCCUCGGGGUGUGUACUUGUGUGCUAUGAUUAUGAUGUUUUCACCAAUUCAAUUUCCCAAUUAAUAAUUUGAUCAGUGGAUUGUCUCAAGUAUAUGAAGAAAAGACAGAUGCAAGGUUUACCUUACCUUAAGAAGCAUCAUCAUCCGAACUAGAAUCAUCAAUUCUCCUAUCUGUGCAAGGUUUAUCACUGUUGAGGUCGAUUUCAACCCUAGUUAAUCACAAUAAUAACACCCACAUGUGCAAGAUGACCUUUUUUUUAGGGGUGGGGAUGAGGUGGGAGGAACAAUAAGGUUAUAAAGACGAUCAAUUUUAGUGUUUCGAUAUAUUGAAGGGAACAGGAGAUCACCUUCUUUAAGGGCAUCACAAACUUCUUCAGUUGUCACAUUUAAAUAAAAGCCUUACGUAGAAAUCAAAGCUGAACAUAGUUGUCUAAGUUUCCCCAAACACAUCCAUUUCAGAGCAGGAACCAACCAACUGAACAUAGUUGUUGAAAACAGAAAGCCCCAAAAGGAAUUCAUACAAGUACACAAUAUUAGGGAAAAACUAAUUACUGUAAAGAACAAGUAUUCCCAAUAUAAUUUCUUAAGUGAAUUCUAGAAUUAUAUAAAAAGGAUCGAGGAAAACUUUGAAAUGCAACAUGGACGAAUAACAAAACAAAAAGUGAAACGAUUCGAUUAGUCGGUACAUAUAUAUAUAUAUUGAUUAAUGACUUUGAUACAAGGAGUCGGCUAGUGAGGAGACUAUUAUAACGAUGAAAUCGGGCAUAAUAUUUGUAGUUGAUAUGUGUGCUUGCAAGAAAAACACUGACAUGUUGAAGGAUUACAAUAUUAACAAAAUGGAGCAGCAGUUGAAAGAGCAUGUUUACAAAAUUUGGAGCAUAAAAAAUACUACCAAAUUAGUUCACCAAAUUAAAUGUCAAUUUCUUAAUCUCAAAAUGACAGAAAAUUAGCUUAAAAUUAAAAGUAAUCGUUAUUUUCUAUCUCACUCUUCCGCUCGAAUAUUAGCAAACCACUCUCUACAGAUCAGAACUGAAUGAAAAUAGAGAAAACUAAUGCACGAUAAAAAGAAAAAUAUGGCAUACCCGUAGUUGAAAUUCUUAUAGAAAUAGCUGCAGAUCGUUAACUUCACACUGAAAAUAAUUUCAAAAUGUGGUGAGGAAACUUCAAGUUAAACCCACAACAGUGAAAGACAAAAAUUAACAAAUCUAGAAAGUUGAUUCAGUCGGAACCAAAUCUAUAGUAAAAUUUUCUUCCGGCUAAUUACCACCAAAAACCCAUAUGAACAGAGCAGGUUCCAAAAAAUUAUAACAAAAGAAGACCAAAUUAUUUACUGCAUGUGACUAAAAAGCUUUGAAAUGCAACAUGAACGACUAAAAUAUCAAAUAACAAAACGAAAAUUGAAAUUGAAAAAACACAGGAAAUAACAUCUAGGAAAUGCAAAAGGGACAUUGAUAGAAACAAUAUAAGAAAACAAAAAAAAAUCAAAGCUACUGACUAAGAUUCAAAUUAUUGGGGUCUCCAAAGCACAAACAAAAUUGAACAAGAAAAGAAGGAAAUAUAAAGACACUCGAUCAAAUGUUGAAGAUAUAAAAACUGAUAAUUGCAUAACAAUCACAACUCCAAAAAGAAAAACAACCAUCACGCUUCAAUGUAAGAAAAGAUCAAACAAAUAAUUUGGGGGAGCCUUACCUGAAUCAACUUUAGAAGACACCUAAAAUAUAUAUAGUGGAAAGAUGAAACCACACACCUUAUGAUAAUGUGUCCAUUCAACAACACACCUUUAGAAGACACCUAAGAUAUAGUGAAGCACUAAAAAGACAUAGAUACCCUCAGAUUUGAAUUAAUGUACGUCCAUAAAGCACACAUGUUGAAGAAGCCUUUUCUAAUAUAGUAAGUAAGUAGGGAUUAGGCUAAAAAACACAUCUAUAAAUACGUUAAUCUACCACUAGAUUUCUAAUAUGCCAAAAAAAGACUUCUAACUACUUUUUUCUUUUCUCAUACAAGUGAUCGAUCUUCUUAUUAGCUUUUAAAAAAAUGGCAAUAUAUGUCCCUACCGCCAAUAAUUGGCACUAUGUCCAUUUUUCCGUUAUUGGAUACAUUACUGAUGUUCGUAAUCGUGUUCAACCCCCCAUUAUUGAAUACUUAUCUUAUACUCAUGAUCAACACAGAUGAAACUUUUAUGCAGAAUUAAGAGUUAGCGGGAUACAGGGGCAUUGCAAGAGACGAUAGGGGUAGGUGGUUAGGAGGAUUCAUGGGGCGAUUAGGUGUGGUAACAACGUCGUGCCUCAUGGCAGAACUGUGGGCCAUACAUGGCGGACUGACCUUGGCGAACAACUUCAAUUAAAGCCUCAGAAGUUGGAUCUUUGUUUAUAGAAAUUAUCUCAACAGAAACAACUCGCCUUCUUGAAUUGUACUUUUAACCACCUAAGAAGUAACAUUCGUGUUUGUAAAAUUGGAACUUUCACUCGGGGUUUGCUGAAGAAGAUGAAGACAGAAAUGCAGACUGUUCUUCAUUGACAUUAUUGGGAAAAUUACUAGAUACUUGGCACAAAGGCAGUUUAUUGCCUGGCCUACCUUGUCUUCUCUUCAUGGGAAGGGAUGGAGAUGAUUCGGGAUUGAACCGGAAUUAGGGUUAGGAUUAGAAUUUUGGAAGUGAAUUGAAAUUGGGAGUAAAAUUAAUGAUCGGGUUUGAGUUAGGCAAAUGAACUGGGAAUUGUUUCACUAGUACUAUGCAAACUUUUGAUUGAGCUUCUAUUUUUGCAAGAAUGGCGGAUGCUGGCUCUCUUAGAGUCAUGAUCACUGAUGUGAGCUUCAGUCCGCUGUUCAAUAUCAGGCUUAAAUAUUCUGCUCAGCACACUCCAAAACUAGUUGUUGAUAAGGGAGAACUUUCUGUCUCUUCAUAACGUGCACAACACAAGCAUCAAUUGCAUAACGUCUAUCUUUGUCGAUAUCUUCCAAGUCAAUUUCAUGUUUUCUGAUAUAUUCAAUAAACAGCUCAUUCUGCACUCUCUCAAGAAGUUUAGUCUUACAAGAUAAUGAGAUACUCAGUUAUCUCUUUUUUACAACAUAGUCAAUGAGAACUAUAUAUAUAUUUUAUAUGAUUGCGUUAUAAUGAUAGCUAUGUUUUAAAAAGCACCUAGAUUUAUGACAGUGUGAUUACAGUUAACAUAUAUCUGGUUAUCAACCUUGAUGUUGUGGCUUGCAUGUUAUAGGAGACAAUCGACUCUUUUGCUCAUUGUCUGCAAGGACUAUACAUAUGAAAUUAGUGCAUAAAAACUAUAUACAUUCUACCGUCCAUAAACUAUAUACUUUCUGUCUCUUCAUAACGUGCACAACACAAGCAUCAAUUACAUAACGUCUAUCUUUGAUGUACACACCUUUUUUAUUUCAUCCAAAAGAGGUGGAAGCAAAGGGAUCCUUGUCCUCCUCAUUGUGUAAGUGUACUCAAAAUGUUCAGUUGAACAAAAAUUUGUAUUCUAUCUGAAGCAUUAAACAGAACCGCUGGUUGGCAAGUUACAUGUACUUGAUGAAUACAUCCAAGUCAAUUUCAUGUUUUCUGAUAUAUUCAUUAAACAGCUCAUUCAGCACUCUCUCAAGAAGUUUAGUCUCACAAGAUAAUGAGAUACUCAGUUAUCUCUUUUUUACAUUAGACUUGAGGCUAAGAUUUAUUGUAUUUUGUGCUUAAAGGUGUUGUAAAGUCAAGAACAACCACUGUUAAGUAAAAAAUAGUCAGGUAUGAGUCCUUCCCCACCUCUCUUUCCUAUUUCUUUUUCUUGUUAAGAGUUUCAACUUCUUCAUGGAUCCCUUUUUUAACUUGUUUCUCAGGAAGGCUAAAAACUUUGGCAGAGGCAUCGGAACCACUUUAUCUGCUGGGGAUAUCAGAACUAAUGUAGUCGCGAGCUGCUUUAGCUCUAUGCCUCUGGCAAGUAAAAAAUUGCCUUCUACUGGUUUGUGAUAAGGGAUCUCACUUCCUCUAAGUUUGAAUAUUCUCGUAAUGACAACAUUGGGUCUAAACCAUUGGGUAGUGGUUAUGGAUAUGUGCUUCCCGUCCUGAGAAAAUUUGUUGCCUGAUCUUGCUUGCCUUAUCCAAAAGUCAGUUAUAAGCAACCUCCACUUUUUUAUCCAAAUACUCAUCUACGGGAUUUCCAUCAGCACGAUAGAGUGUGGGCAUUGAUCUUUCACCUUAUGAAGUGUAUACGACAACUGUCGUUCCAACAGACCCAGUGGAUUCCCUAGUGUACCUGUCAAAACACUCCCUCCUAAAUCAGCAGUUGCCACCUUAUUCCCUCCUUCCAUCUUUUUUGUGUACACCCUUCCACCUACACACUUUCGUCCCUCCAAAACAGUAACCUCAAAGCCAAAUAACAUCAGUUGUCUCGCAGCCGCCAACCCAGCAAGACCUGCCCCGACAACAGUCUCUCCACCCUUUCUUGGAUCAACUGGAAUUUUGUCCUUAAUUGCCAAUGCCACUCCAAAAUUAAUAUAUCCAUAUGAUAACAAGUAGUUGUACGCAGAAUCUAAUAGACCAUUACAGUGUUCAGGUAUAACAUCAACAAACAUAUCUUUCGUCAUCCAAAUCGACACAUUUUCAUGCCAUUUGGUACUAAUAUGAUUUCUGAUUAAAAUGUAGUUAUCCUAUUCUAUCCCGCCAACUACAGAAACAACCCUAAUUUCACUUUCGUCAUUCGUUAACGACUCAGAUAAAAAUCCAGCAGUUAAUUCAAUUAAAGCCUCAGAAGUUGGCUCUUUGUUUAUAGAAAUUAUCUCAACAGAAACAACUCGCCUUCUUGAAUUUGUACUUUUGACCACCUAAGAAUUAACAUUCGUGUUUGCAAAACUGGAACUUUUCACUCGGGGUUUGCUAAAUUUAUCUGAAGAAGAUGAAGACAGAAAUGCAGACUGUUCGUCAUUGACAUUGUUGGGAAAAUUACUGGAUACUUGGCACAAAGGCAAUUUAUUGCUUGGCCUACAUUGUUUUCUCUUCAUGGGAAAGGAUGGAGAUGAUUCGGGAUUGAACCGGAAUUAGGGUUAGGAUUAGAAUUUUGGAAGUGAAUUGAAAUUGGGAGAAAAACUAAUGUUCGGGUUUGAGUUAGGAAAAUAAACUGGGAAUUGUUUCACUAGUACUAUGCAAACUUUUGAUUGAGCUGCUAUUUUUGCAAGAAUCGCGGAUGCUGGCUCUCUUAGAGUCAUGAUCACUGAUGUCACGGAGAAAAGAAGUUGUAGCAGAGUAGCAACAAUGCCCGGUUUUACCAAACAUUGAACGUUUGCUUUUGAGGCAGACAAGUUGUGCAACGCGUUAAGAGACGAUUGCUUAGCUUCUAGGUUCUCAGAGGCGAACAUUUUGACUAGCGGUUCAACGGCUCCAUCUUUUCCCUGGUUAGCUCUAUUUUUUAUCUGUGAGUUCCAUUCUUGAAUUGUUGUUUCCAUUAGAAUCUUACUCAUGUCAGAGCCUACGAUUGAUCAAAUAGCUUAUUAAACUGCAUAUAAUUUAUAUACAAUGAAUAGAAUGUGUUGUAAAACCUCAUGAUCUACCUUACUAACUCAUUUAAGGCCUCUUUGUAUCAUUUAAGGCCUCUUUGUAUCAGAUGUUUUCUGAUAUAUUCAUUAAACAGCUCAUUGUGCACUCUCUCAAGAAGUUUAGUCUCACAAGAUAAUGAGAUACUCAGUUAUCUCUUUUUUACAGCUGAAACCAGUUGAAGAAACGACUCGAUUUAAUAAGUUAUCUAAGUUCUUGGUGAAGCUCUCUUCCUCUCUUGUCUGAGUGAGGGGAAAAUGAAAUUAGUGCAUAAAAACUAUAUACAUUCUACCCUCCAUAAACGGCUAUAAGAUUAGACUUGAUUUUAGUUGGACUCACUAGUGUACUUGACGGUCUCGUCAAAUUAUCAAAAUACUGUAAUGUUAUAACAAUAUAUAUAAAAUUAGAUGGGAAAUGAAAAACUUUACAUAAAUAACAACUGUGUUAACAUAAAAAUGGAUAUAUAAAAAUAUUAAGAAAAGAGUGAAAUAAAUUAAAAAAAUUUAUCCCAACUUCACUUUUUUAAGCUCCAAAUAAUUGAAUUCAGAAAAAUAAUUGUCUGAUACGGUGGAAGAAAACAAAAUAUCUAUGAUAACAUUUGGAAGCCUAUACUCCCUCUAUUCUAUACUAAUCAAAUAUUUUGAGGCUUUAUUAUUUUUGAAAAUAAUUUAAUUGUUCAAAAUUUAAAAAAGUUUGUUUGAUUUUUUUUCAUACUAGUUUCUACGCGUAUAUCCCAUAUUAUUUGUAUACAUUUUUUAAAAUACAAGUCACUCUUGAAUAAAAUCAAAAUCCACACUAUCCAACUUUUACAAAAUGCCAUAUAAAACUACAGAAAAAACUUGAAAUUCCAAAGGUGAUCAGAACAUAUAAUUGAUUUUAAGCCAUGAUACACAAAUCACUUUUAUGUCAAAAUUUAAUUUAUGGGUUGUUACUUGUGCAAAAAAAUAAAAAAAACUUGAAUUUUUUAAAUAAACUUUUGGUCAAAAUCAUCUCCAAGACGUUGAUAAAUCACAACAACACAAUACAAGUAUUAAAUUAAACUGUGAGAAACUACAUUUAGUUAUUAUAAGACUAAUUCGGAAUUUAAUAUGAAAAUUUCCAAAUAUUCAAGCUAAAGAAAAGUGUAGUAUACCAAUAUUUAUUGUUACAGACACAAGAGAAAUCAAGCAAUUAAAUUGCUAUAUAUCAAAAAUAUUAGUACUCUUACAAAAAUAGAAAGAAAAAUAAAAAUAAAUAAAACACAAUUAUCUCGACUGACUUUUGUAAAUAAUCAUUACAUUACCAUAAAUACGUCCUAUACUAACCUAACACUAAAUUUAGUAACUUAAAACUACCAAAAAAUAAUAAUCAACUUCUACUAGGAUUAGAAUUAGGCAAAAUAAAACCCUUAUAAAUAUGUACUCUAUCGUUAUGUUUCUAAUAUGAAAAAAAAAAACUUCUUACUUCUACAUACUUUUUUUAUUUUCUCAAGUUGUUACUUUUAACUACUUUUUCUUUUUCUCUGAUCAUAUUAUUAGCUCAAAAAUGGCAAUAUAUGUCCCUACUGCGCACUAUGUCCAUUUUCCUUUUUUUGGAUACGCAACUAAUGUUCAACCUUGCAUCAUUGGAUAUGUAUCUAAUGUUCAUGAUCAUGAUCAAUCCGUAGUUAGACAUAGAGAUGCCCCUAGGUACAUUAGUUGGUCAUUCCCUCCGUCGGGAUACAUUAAGAUCAACACGGAUGGAUCUUUUAUGCAGCAUUCAGGGUUAGCGGGAUAUGGAGGCAUUGCAAGAGACGAUAGAGGUAGGUGGCUAGGAGGAUUCGUGGGGAGAUUAGGUAUGGUAACAACGUCGUGCCUCACGGCAGAACUGUGGGCCAUACAUGGCGGACUGACCUUGGCGAAGAACUUCAAGCUGAAGAACGUCAUCAUCGAGACUGACUCUCGUGAAGCAUUGAUGCUCAUAAUGAGUAAGGGACGCGCCGUCAACAAUCAUCUUGAUCGCGACGUGAUAAAAGAGUGUCAACGUCUCCUGUCCGAACUUGGGAUCUCCAUGAUGCAUACUCUAAGGGAAGGAAACAACAGUGCAGAUCACCUGGCGAAACUGGGAAGAAUGCAACUAGAUGAAGAAAUUGUAAUAUUACAUCAUCCACCACAUUCCAUGCACCAACUUCUUCUUGCGGACAUGGCUCACGUUGCAUACCCUAGGUACCGAAAGCAUGUACGAUAGUUUAGUACAUAUAGCACAAAGAAAAAAUAUAUGAAAUUGUACGUAAGCAUUUGUUAAUAUUACAAAGAAUAUAAUGAAAUAUAUUUUUGUUAAUUCAUUGUAGGAUUUAUGUUUAUGUUUGGCUGUGUAUAUAAAUGAUGAAGGACCAAUGUCUAUUUUCUUGAAAUCAAUGUUCAUGGGAUUAAUACCUUGUUUCAUAUUUGAUUGUUCUUUUUGGUUUUUUCUAAUCAUGUUAGUUGUCUCGAUUUUAAAUUUUGGGACUAAAUUCGUAGCUAGAAUUAAUAAAGACAAUAAGAUUUAUAUAUAUUUUAUCGUUCCUAGACGGCUAUAAGAUUAGACUUGUUUUUAGUUGAACUCACUAGUGUACUUGGCGGUCUCGUUAAAGUAUCAAAAUAAAUGUAGUAAGAUUUUACAUUAUGUAUAAAAAUAUAUGAAUGAAAAACUUUAAAUAAAUAAUAACUAUGUUAACAUAAAAAUUGAUAUAAAGAAAUAUUAAGAAAAGAGUGAAAUGAAUUAAAUUUUUGUAUCCCAACGUUGAGGGGAGAUAAAGUUGCUUUUCACCUUUUUAAGCUCCAGAUAUUUAUAUUAACUGAAUAUUUGUGGCUUUUUUUAUUGUAUAAAUAAUUUAAUUGUUCAAAAUUGAAGAUAUAUAUUUGAAUUUUUUUUCAUAUUUGCCUUUUUAUUUAUUGAAGUUUUUUAUUUCUAGGAAAUAAAUUACACUAUUUAUAAAGUUAUAUUUAUUAUUUCACAAAGGGCAAUAGUGAAAUUAUAAUUUAAAUUAAGUCUUUAAAUGUUAAUAUUCCUUCUGUCUCUAUUUACUUGUCAAAUAUUGUCCUAUUUCACAUUUAGGAAAAAUAUCUUAAGUAUUCCUAUUUUGAUUAGAGAUUAAUUAUUUUGUUUAAUUUUAGUAACUUAAAAUUACCAAAACAAAAUCAUAUAGUGUGAAAUUAGAAUAAUACUUCAUAAGAUUACACAUAAAUACUUAUAGGAACCUAACACUAAUUUUAGAAACUUAAAACUACCAAAAAUAAUAAUCAUAUUUCUACUUCUUCUAGGACUAUGCUAAAACAUUUGCAAUAAAAUGAGACAAUGGAGAAUUAUGAUGAAUAACAAAGCUACCAUUUCAAUUAGUCAACACCAUAGAUAAUAAUCAACAUAGCGACUUUGUUCAAUUACAUUUUUAAAAAAUAAAGAAUUAUCAACUAAACUGGAGAAAGAAUGAAUAAGAAUUUUCCUAACUACUCUUUUUAAGUACAAGUGAAAAAUAUUGAAAUAGAGUCAUGUACUAGCCAUAUCGUCGUCUUUGAGCAACUCCAACCACCUAUGUUGCCUCGAAUUGAGAUCCCUCUGUUAGCACAACUUUCAAAAACUGAAUCUCAUUUCCAUAUUUACCAUACUUGAGCUCAAAAAUGAUUCAGAUCCCCUGCGCCAACAAGAACGAAAACACAAAUUUAACAGGCAUAUUGUUAUGGAUCAGCCAGCCCAAGUCAGUAGGGAAAUUGAGAAUGGGCCUGAGACAAUUAGGAAAAGCCAACGAAUUAAACAGCCCAACAAAAAGCUACAAGACAAGCACGUGGGAGUAGUGUUAUAUGCAGGAGUAUGGCAGAGUAGUGGGAAACAAAGAAAUGAUAGCAACACUCUCUUAAUUCUCAUCUUAUUUCUUCUAAGGUCUCUCACCUCUUUCUAUCUUAUUGUUUAGUAUUUUUCAUACUGCAAUUGCUGCUCUUGAGAGCUGAACUAUUGAAUCUCACUACUGUAAUUGUUCUUCUUGGGUAAUCAAAUUAAGUAUUGCUACUGUUUUGUUAUUUGGGUUGAAGUUUGUUCCACAUAUACACAACAUUUGGCUUUGACAUAUAUAGUAAUUUCAUAUACAACAUAUUGUGGUACUAAUGACUCAGUACAGUAAAAAAUCAAAAGAUUUCAAUUACUAGGGAUGUAUUGUUCAGGUCAACUCAUAGUCACAUUGAUUAUUCAAUUCGUUACCUGUAAC
rnacentral:lncRNA from 1 species